AUUGAACGCUGGCGGCAUGCCUUACACAUGCAAGUCGAACGGCAGCAUGAUCUAGCUUGCUAGAUUGAUGGCGAGUGGCGAACGGGUGAGUAAUACAUCGGAACGUGCCCUGUAGUGGGGGAUAACUAGUCGAAAGAUUAGCUAAUACCGCAUACGACCUGAGGGUGAAAGUGGGGGACCGCAAGGCCUCAUGCUAUAGGAGCGGCCGAUGUCUGAUUAGCUAGUUGGUGAGGUAAAGGCUCACCAAGGCGACGAUCAGUAGCUGGUCUGAGAGGACGAUCAGCCACACUGGGACUGAGACACGGCCCAGACUCCUACGGGAGGCAGCAGUGGGGAAUUUUGGACAAUGGGGGCAACCCUGAUCCAGCAAUGCCGCGUGUGUGAAGAAGGCCUUCGGGUUGUAAAGCACUUUUGUCCGGAAAGAAAUCGCACUUACUAAUAUUAGGUG
rnacentral:rRNA from 1 species